CGGUGUUCAACUGGCGUGUCCGCGGGACGUCCUGCCGGUGGGCUUAGCCCGCAAGGGCGGCCCAACUUCAAAUCCCAUCGCGGUGCUCUUCACUGAGUGUCGAGGUGGGCCGGCACGUUUACUUUGAACAAAUUAGAGUGCUUAAAGCAGGCUAAAACUUCGCCUGAAUACUGUGUGCAUGGAAUAAUGGAAUAGGGCCUCGGUUCUAUUUUGUUGGUUUUCGGAACCCCGAGGUAAUGAUUAAUAGGAACGGAUGGGGGCAUUCGUAUUGCGACGUUAGAGGUGAAAUUCUUGGAUCGUCGCAAGACGGACAGAAGCGAAAGCAUUUGCCAAAAACGCUUUCAUUGAUCAAGAACGAAAGUUAGAGGUUCGAAGGCGAUCAGAUACCGCCCUAGUUCUAACCAUAAACGAUGCCAGCUAGCGAUCCGUCGACGUUCCUCCGAUGACUCGACGGGCAGCUUCCGGGAAACCAAAGCUUUUGGGUUCCGGGGGAAGUAUGGUUGCAAAGCUGAAACUUAAAGGAAUUGACGGAAGGGCACCACCAGGAGUGGGAGCCUGCGGCUUAAUUAGACUCAACACGGGAAACCUCACCAGGCCCGGACACCGGAAGGAUUGACAGAUUGAGAGCUCUUUCUUGAUUCGGUGGGUGGUGGUGCAUGGCCGUUCUUAGUUGGUGGAGCGAUUUGUCUGGUUAAUUCCGAUAACGAACGAGACUCUAGCCUGCUAACUAGGCGUAUUUUCGACAUCUCAAAGGUCCGUCGUCCCGGCCCUCGGGUCGUGGGCGUGCGCGAUUUUUACUGUCGGCGUACUAUCAAUUCUUCUUAGAGGGACAGGUGGCUUCUAGCCGCACGAGAUUGAGCAAUAACAGGUCUGUGAUG
rnacentral:rRNA from 1 species